CUCAGUGAGCGAGUGCUGCGCGUGAGCCAGUCUGGGCUGAAGUUGUGUCCUGUUUGUACAUUUGUGCGCUCGUGCGAGAGCGCGUGUGAAUGAACGGCUCUUCCCCGGAGCUGCUGGGGGAGGCACCAGUCUGCGAAAGACCAGAGAGAUGCCGGCCGACUAAACAAGAAAGUGACGUGUACGUGCAUUGGAGAGUUUGCAGCCAUGUACACUCAGGCAAAAUGCAAUACGGGCCACGAUUAUCCUCAGAAGGAGGGUAACGCAAACGACAAAGUGAUGUUUGAAGGAUGAAGGCGCCACCAUGAAAGCAGCUGAACAAACAAGGACCUUCUUUAUGGCAUCCAAUCGUAACGGAGGUGGGAAAAGGAAGCACGCUAAACUCGCAGCUCAUUAAAGUGGGAAGCCACAGCGUGUCAUCCUUUUCCAUGUAAGCCUAUCUCCUGCGUCCUCCUCUCGAACACCAACUGCCCUCAUGUCUUCCCUCACGACAUCCAUCAACCUUCUCUUUGGUCUUUCUCUAGCUCUCUUGCCUGGCAGCUCCAUCUUCAUCAUCCUUCUACCAAUAUACUCACUAUUUCUCCUCUGGACGUGUCCAAACCAUCGAAGUCUGCUCUCUCUAACUUUGUCUCCAAAACAUCGAACCUUGGCUGUCCCUCUGAUGAGCUCAUUUCUAAUUUUAUCCAACCUGGUCACUCUGAGAGCAAACCUCAACAUCUUCAUUUCCGCCACCUCCAGCUCUGCUUCCUGUCGUCUCUUCAGUGCCACUGUCUCUAAUCCGUACAUCAUGGCUGGCCUCACCACUGUUUAAUAAACUUUGUCCUUCAUCGUAGCAGAGACUCUUCUGUCACAUAACACACCUGACACCUUCCUCCACCCGUUCCAACCUGCUUGGACCCGUUUCUUCACUUCCUGACCACACUCACCAUUGCUCUGGACGGUUGACCCCAAGUAUUUAAAGUCCUCCACCCUUGCCAUCUCUUCUCCGUGUAGCCUCACUCUUCCCCCACCACCCCUCUCAUUCAUGCACGUAUAUUCUGUCUUACUUCGGCUAAUCUUCAUUCCUCUGCUUUCCAGUGCAUGCCUCCAUCUUUCGAACUGUUCCUCCACCUGCUCCCUGCUUUCAUUGCAGAUCACAAUGUCAUCUGCAAACAUCAUGGAUUCCAGUCUAACCUCAUCUGUCAGCCUAUUCAUCACCACUGCAAACAGAAAGGGGCUCAGGGCUGAUCCCUGAUGCAGUCCCACCUCCACCUUAAAUUCGUCUGUCACACCUACAGCACACCUCACCACUGUUCUGCUGCCCCCGUACAUGUCCUGUAUUAUUCUGACAUACUUCUCUGCCACUCCAGACUUCCGCAUGCAGUACCACAGUUCCUCUGUGGGUGCUCUGUCAUAGGCUUUCUCUAGAUCUACAAAGACACAAUGUAGCUCCUUCUGACCUUCUCUGUACUGUAAAAAAGCAAAAAUCCAACAGCAACAGCAAAACUGCACCCAACAAAUCAGUUUGUUUUCUUAUCAACACAAUUUGCCGCGGCACAUCCAAAUGACACACUUUCUGUAUCGGUCACAUGAUUUUUUUUUUCUUAAAGCGAUACACGCACCAAUACGGGGUUUCACUCUUGUGCGCUCAGCACAAUGCUAACGCACUAGUGUUGUUCCUCCCUUCACUAGUUUGCACUAGUGUAGAACUGCAUUGCAUCAUUCUUGGAGGUGUUUUCAAUAUUUUGUCCCUUGAGUUUGACAUUUGCUUUACAUGCCCCCUCGGUUGAUUUACUGAUCUAAUGUGACCUCCAGUUUUUGUGCCACUUUGAUGUGAAAUAUUUUUCCCCAAAAGUUGCGAAUUCACCGGGAAUUGAAAUUGUAAGAUUGCAUGAGAUAUUAGUGUUGCCCAUGCGACCCUUGUUGAGCCAGGGCACAUUUUUGACAUUGGAAAACUCACGACACACUGCCAAAUCAAAAUGUCAAAAAAAGUCUUUGCAGUGGUGCCUUGACUGACAAAUGCCCCCAACUUCUGAGUUUUCCGAGUUACGAGCCGUCGCUUGGUUGAUGUUUUUGCUUUGUGUUAGGAAGCCAAAUUUUUAAUUACAAGCAAGUUUCAGAUAUCCCGCCGCUUGAGGUAAGUGGAAAAAAACAGUUGAGCGACAGUUGCCGAUGCACUUUCAGCCGUUCAUUGAAUGGGACAAGCAGUCAAACACACAAAUACAAAAUGAAAACACUCACAAGGAGCAUGGAGAAGACACUAACACUGAACUAAUUGUGUGAUAAAUGGCGAACCGAGUCAAAGCUCCUGACAUCACUCACUCGGCCACGCCCCUUAAAGGCACACAAAUGUACCAUGAAUGUUUUUGGAAUGGUAGGAAACCGGAGUGUCCGGGGAAAAAAAACACGCAGAAACAGAAAGUACAUGCAAAGUCCACAGGGGAAAACAGGAGCCCGGAUCGGAACCCUCAACCUUAAAACUACGAGGUGGCUGUGCGAACCAUUAGAAACCAUUGUAACAGUUUAUUUUUAUACAUUCUCUUAUAAGGUUUUAUAUUUACAUAUUAAAAUACAGACCUACUUUAAAAAAAUAUAUUUUAAAAAACGUAGCAAAAUUUUGUGGUUGUUCCAUGGAGGGCCUGGAACGAAUUAUUUGCAUUUCAGUUAAUUUCAAUGGGGAAAAUGUAUUUGAUAUACAAGUGGUUGGGAAUCACUGGCGUACCCAAUUAACCGUCUAUGGGCAACACACAACUUGCGCUUGAUGGAAAGAGUUCCUUCACACUGGCGUCUGCUCUUUUACCUUUGAACCCACACCCAGCAGCCCAUCUCUGAUCUACACGGGGUCUACUCUCUCAUGCCGCUUACGCCGAGGUGAUAGAUGACCACCGGCAUGCCAAUAGUGCACAAUAUUUCAAUUUCCUGCGUGGAAGAAGGAAUUUGAGAGGUUGCGAGAAGUUCACGAGCACAGUGUGGUGCCUCCCGCUCUCACAACAAGGCUUGACAAUUUACUGAAGACCACGAGACCAAAACAUCAGGCUGGAGAACAUUCCAGAAAGUCGGGUCCUCCAUGUGUCAGGGCAGACCCCCGCUGCAUGAUGAACAGCAGCGCCGAGGACUUUGACACGAGGGCCAGCCUGUCGGUGAGCGAGUUUAACGUGGAAAGCUUUUAGAAUUUUUUUUUUUAUUAUAAUGAUGUGAAAUACAGAUUUUAUUAGGACUGGUGUGACUUCAUUCACUGAAAAAAAAAAAACAUGGUUAAAUAAAACAAAACAAUCCAAAUUUCUUCAUUCUUCUUCAUUCUUCAUUUAAAUUAUUUGAUUGGGUUAUGCAAAACUUUUUUCUGUAGGGUAAAGAAAACUAAAAUGUUUCAUGUUUUUUUCUGAAUUAAACAUUUUUGCAAAACUUUAUUGGCUGGAAAAGACAUUUACAAGCAAUAUGAUAUGAUUCCCCCAUGACCCCGACACAAAAAGUACACUAAAUCUAAAAAUUGGGAAACUUAUGCAGUAGUGUGUUAAUAAAAGGAAAUUAUUUUUAAAUUAUUUUAUUAAGGAACAUUUUAAAGCUUUU